AACAGCCACCAUCACUACAAACCCAAAAAAGUAGAAAGAAACAAAUCAACCAACCAACGAAAAAAUACAACAAAUCGACAUUGGACAUGUGUGUGUUUCCGUUUUCAUCGU
rnacentral:ribozyme from 13 species